CCUACGGGAGGCAGCAGUGGGGAAUAUUGCACAAUGGGGGAAACCCUGAUGCAGCGACGCCGCGUGAGUGAAGAAGUAAUUCGGUACGUAAAGCUCUAUCAGCAGGGAAGAAAAUGCCGGUACCUGACUAAGAAGCACCGGCUAACUACGUGCCAGCAGCCGCGGUCAUACGUCGGGGGCAAGGGUUAUCCGGAAUUACUGGGUGUAAAGGGAGCGUAGACGGCUGGUCAAGUCUGGAGUGAAAGGCCGCGGCCUAAACUCGGAACUGCUUUGGAAACUGGACAACUGGAGUGCAGGAGAGGUAAGCGGAAUUCCUGGUGUAGCGGUGAAAUGCGUAGAUAUCAGGAGGAACACCAGUGGCGAAGGCGGCUUACUGGACCGUAACUGACGUUGAGGCUCGAAAGCGUGGGGAGCAAACAGGAUUAGAUACCCGUGUAGUC
rnacentral:rRNA from 1 species